rnacentral:rRNA from 1 species
AUUGAACGCUGGCGGCAGGCCUAACACAUGCAAGUCGAGCGGAUGAGGAGAGCUUGCUCUCUGAUUCAGCGGCGGACGGGUGAGUAAUGCCUAGGAAUCUGCCUGGUAGUGGGGGACAACGUUUCGAAAGGAACGCUAAUACCGCAUACGUCCUACGGGAGAAAGUGGGGGAUCUUCGGACCUCACGCUAUCAGAUGAGCCUAGGUACGAUUAGCUAGUUGGUGAGGUAAAGGCUCACCAAGGCGACGAUCGUUAACUGGUCUGAGAGGAUGAUCAGUCACACUGGAACUGAGACACGGUCCAGACUCCUACGGGAGGCAGCAGUGGGGAAUAUUGGACAAUGGGCGAAAGCCUGAUCCAGCCAUGCCGCGUGUGUGAAGAAGGUCUUCGGAUUGUAAAGCACUUUAAGUUGGGAGGAAGGGCAGUAAGUUAAUACCUUGCUGUUUUGACGUUACCAACAGAAUAAGCACCGGCUAACUUCGUGCCAGCCGCCGCAGUAACAC